rnacentral:rRNA from 1 species
UGCGUAGGGGGCAAGCGUUGUCCGGAAUCAUUGGGCGUAAAGCGCGUGUAGGCGGCUCGAUAAGUCUGCUGUGAAAGUCCAGGGCUCAACCCUGGGAUGCCGGUGGAUACUGUCGAGCUCGAGUCCGGAAGAGGCGAGUGGAAUUCCUGGUGUAGCGGUGAAAUGCGCAGAUAUCAGGAGGAACACCAAUGGCGAAGGCAGCUCGCUGGGACGGUACUGACGCUGAGACGCGAAAGCGUGGGGAGCAAACAGG